rnacentral:lncRNA from 1 species
AGAGCUCGAGUUGAUUGAAAGAGAGGCAAUGGUGGUAUUACAUAAGGUUGGUGUUGAAAAACCUAAGUUGCAUAAUCAUUUUAUAGAAGACAACAAAGUAAAGGCAUUCUUACUAAAGAAGAUCAAAGCGAUGGUGUUGCAAAAAAUUGAAGAUGGUGUAGUAGCAAUGAGGGUAGGACUUUGCUUAGAAAUUGACAACCAUUGUAGAUCAACCGUGAUUUAUCAUGUUGUUGUAAGAUGGUAGUUGAUUUUUGAUGAUUAUUAGACAAUAAAUUUAGAGAAAUUCUUAUGCAUAAUUUUUGAUGUGAUGAUAGGAAAUUGUAGUAUUGUGAUAAAUAUUUUAAUAAGGUUAUUUCUUUACUAAAGAAUGUGAUGCACGUGAAAACUUUCAGGAGCUAAUUG